rnacentral:lncRNA from 1 species
UUUAAAUCUAUUUGCGAUUAAUUAGAAGGUACGAAAAUUCGAAUAUUUAGAAUAAAUGUUUCGAAAGUAUGUCGACGUCUGCACACACCGGGAUCUAAACGCACAAUGACCAAUAGUCAAUACACACAAGAACGACUCGAACGGAUAUUGUUUAUUUUUCAGCUGUUUUCUUGAUUAAACCUCGCUCGUUAUAACGCGCGUUACACGUGAGUUAGCGACGCGCGAGGGAAUUCGAUGGUGGUGGUGGUGUAGAAGUUAGGUUAGUAUUAUACAUAGACAUCUAUGGUAUAAUUACAGGCUCUCUAAUUUUUUAUUUUUUCGCCAGUCCAGAGCUAUCAAUAUAGACACAACCAGACAACCAACUUUGAAGGUACUAAAAUUUUAGACAUAUUACAAACCCAUGAGAGUGAUGCCCCACAUUUGAGGAUGUUACUUUUCACAAGUAUAGGAACCAAUAUUUAGUAGGUAUGA